rnacentral:rRNA from 1 species
UACGAAGGGGGCUAGCGUUGCUCGGAAUUACUGGGCGUAAAGGGCGCGUAGGCGGAUGUUUAAGUCAGCGGUGAAAGCCCAGGGCUCAACCUUGGAACUGCCAUUGAUACUGGACAUCUUGAGUACGGGAGAGGUGAGUGGAACUCCGAGUGUAGAGGUGAAAUUCGUAGAUAUUCGGAAGAACACCAGUGGCGAAGGCGGCUCACUGGCCCGGUACUGACGCUGAUGUGCGAAAGCGUGGGGAGCAAACAGG